CCUACGGGAGGCAGCAGUAGGGAAUAUUGCUCAAUGGGGGAAACCCUGAAGCAGCAACGCCGCGUGGAGGAUGAAGGUUUUCGGAUUGUAAACUCCUUUUGUUAGAGAAGAUAAUGACGGUAUCUAACGAAUAAGCACCGGCUAACUCCGUGCCAGCAGCCGCGGUAAUACGGAGGGUGAAAGCGUUACUCGGAAUCAAUGGGCGGAAAGAGAGCGUAGGCGGGAUAGCAAGUCAGAUGUGAAAUCCUAUGGCUUAACCAUAGAACUGCAUUUGAAACUGUUAUUCUAGAGUAUGGUAGGGGUAGGUAGAAUUCCUGGUGUAGGGGUAAAAUCCGUAGAGAUCAAGAGGAAUACUCAAGGCGAAGGCGACCUGCUGGAACUUAACUGACGCUGAUGCGCGAAAGCGUGGGGAGCAAACAGGAUUAGAUACCCCGGUAGUC
rnacentral:rRNA from 1 species